rnacentral:rRNA from 1 species
AUUGAACGCUGGCGGCAGGCUUAACACAUGCAAGUCGAGCGGAGAGAGGUAGCUUGCUACUGAUCUUAGCGGCGGACGGGUGAGUAAUGCUUAGGAAUCUGCCUAUUAGUGGGGGACAACAUUUCGAAAGGAAUGCUAAUACCGCAUACGUCCUACGGGAGAAAGCAGGGGAUCUUCGGACCUUGCGCUAAUAGAUGAGCAUAAGUCGGAUUAGCUAGUUGGUGGGGUAAAGGCCUACCAAGGCGACGAUCUGUAGCGGGUCUGAGAGGAUGGUCCGCCACACUGGGACUGAGACACGGCCCGGACUCCUACGGGCGGCAGCAGUGGGAAAUAUUGGACAAUGGGCGCAAGCCUGAUCCAGCCAUGCCGCGUGUGUGAAGAAGGCCUUAUGGUUGUAAAGCACUUUAAGCGAGGAGGAGGCUACUUUAGUUAAUACCUAGAGAUAGUGGACGUUACUCGCAGAAUAAGCACCGGCUAACUCUGUGCCAGCCGCCGCCGUAA